ensembl:processed_transcript
CAAGAAAUGAAGGUUGAUUGUAAAAGUUGCUCUCGGUCGAUAAACACAUCGAGCAAAACAGUUGAGCGAUUUCAGACGAUGUCUACAAGACCUUUCAAGUUUCUAGCAGGAAUCGAAAGUUGUAAGACCUUGACGGGCAAACCGUAUGCUCUGAGGAAACGCAUCAAACUUUCAGAGAUGGAGAACACAAGAGACACAGAGAUGACCAGCUAUGAGGAGAAAACCAGUUCAGGAGGAAGAGGAGAGAAACGGAAAGCGGAUGAUGAUUUUCAGAGAGUUUCUGGUGGAGGUAAAUCAUACGCUCUGCGGAAACGCAUCAAAGUUUCAGAGAUGGAGAACACAAGAGACACUGAGAUGACCAGUUUUCAGGAGAAAACCAGCUCAGGAGGAAGAGGAGAGAAGCGGAAAGCAGAUGAUGCUUUUCAGAGUGUUUCUGGUGGAGGCAAACCAUCUGCCCACCGGAAACGCAUUAAAGUUACAGAGCUGGAGAACACAAGAGAAGACACCGACACAGAGGCGUCCAGCUCAGGAGGAAGAGGAGUGAAGAGGAAAGCGGAUGAUGAUUUGCAG